rnacentral:rRNA from 1 species
UACGGAGGAUCCAAGCGUUAUCCGGAUUUAUUGGGCUUAAAGGGCGCGUAGGCGGCCUAUUAAGUCAGAGGUGAAAGCCUGGAGCUUAACUCCAGAACUGCCUUUGAUACUGAUGGGCUUGAAUAUAGUUGAGGUGGGCGGAAUGUGUCAUGUAGCGGUGAAAUGCUUAGAUAUAACACAGAACACCAAUUGCGAAGGCAGCUCGCUAAACUAUUAUUGACGCUGAGGCACUAAAGCGUGGGGAGCAAACAGG